rnacentral:misc_RNA from 1 species
GUGAUAUUCUAACACUCUCCCUCAUGUGUAACUCAGUUCAACUCAGGUUCACUGGCUGAGUUGCCACAUACCAUUGCAUGGGGUGGCACAUCUAACUAGGGUAUGGCUCCUCUUGGCUCUAUCCUUAAGGUCUAACUCAAUGGGCUAACUCAUGGAUCCACCUUAGUUUGGCUCACUAGGGCUCAGCUCGCAAGUCUAGCUCGCUAAGGCUCAUCCCAACAUGCUUUUGGGUCCAAAAUCUAUGAUUAUUGCACUUAUUACUUUGAUAACCUGUUGACAAUUAUGGAUCUAAGAGUAUGACUAUCAAAUUGGUAAGCUACACAUUGAACAGGGCUUGAAAUUGGGCUCUCCAUUACCAAAAUAACUUAAAUUGUUUUGAUUUG